rnacentral:rRNA from 1 species
CCUACGGGAGGCAGCAGUGGGGAAUAUUGGGCAAUGGGCGCAAGCCUGACCCAGCAACGCCGCGUGAAGGAAGAAGGCCCUCGGGUUGUAAACUUCUUUUAACAGGGACGAAGAAAGUGACGGUAUCUGUUGAAUAAGCCACGGCUAACUACGGGCCAGCAGCCGGGGUAAUACGUAGGUGGCAAGCUUUAUCCGGAGUUACUGGGUGUAAAGGGCGUGUAGGCGGGAGAGCAAGUCAGGCGUGAAAUUCCAGGGCUCAAGCCUGGAACUGCGUUUGAAACUGUUCUUCUUGAGUGAUGGGGAGGCAGGCGGAAUUCCGUGUGUAGCGGUGAAAUGCGUAGAUAUACGGAAGAACACCGGUGGCGAAGGCAGCCUGCUGGACAUUAACUGACGCUGAGGCACGAAAGCGUGGGGAGCAAACAGGAUUAGAUACCCUUGUAGUC